UUUUUUUUUUAGAUCUGACCUGCCCACUGAUUUAUUAAAUGGCCGCGGUAUUUUGACCGUGCAAAGGUAGCAUAAUCAUUUGUCUUUUAAUUGGAGGCUGGAAUGAAUGGUUUGACGAGAGAAAUUCUUUAUUAUUGUAAAAUCUAUAAUUUAACUUUUGAGUUAAAAGGCUUAAAUUUUUUUAUGGGACGAGAAGACCCUAUAGAACUUUACUUUUUUUAUAUAUUAUUUUUUUUUGUUAAUUUAUAUUUUUUAUAUAUUUUAAGUUUGGUUGGGGCGACUUUGAGGAUUUUUUAACCCUUAAAAAUUUUAUUCACUAAUGAGUGUAUUGAUCCAUUAUUAAUGAUUAUUAGAUUAAGUUACCUUAGGGAUAACAGCGUAAUUUAUUUGGAGAGUUCUUAUCGAUAAAUAAGAUUGCGA
rnacentral:rRNA from 1 species